CCUACGGGAGGCAGCAGUGAGGAAUAUUGGUCAAUGGACGGAAGUCUGAACCAGCCAUGCCGCGUGCAGGAAGACGGCUCUAUGAGUUGUAAACUGCUUUUGUACAGGGUAAACCUGAAUACGUGUAUUCAGCUGAAAGUACUGUACGAAUAAGGAUCGGCUAACUCCGUGACAGCAGCCGCGGUCAUACGGAGGAUCCAAGCGUUAUCCGGAUUUAUUGGGUUUAACGGGUGCGUAGGCGGAUUGAUAAGUUAGAGGUGAAAUGUCCGAGCUUAACUCGGGAACUGCCUCUAAUACUGUUGAGCUAGAGAGUAGAUGCGGUAGGCGGAAUGUAUGGUGUAGCGGUGAAAUGCUUAGAGAUCAUACAGAACACCGAUUGCGAAGGCAGCUUACCAAUCUAUAUCUGACGUUGAGGCACGAAAGCGUGGGGAGCAAACAGGAUUAGAUACCCUAGUAGUC
rnacentral:rRNA from 1 species